UACGGAGGGGGCUAGCGUUGUUCGGAAUUACUGGGCGUAAAGCGCGCGUAGGCGGACCUGCAAGUCGGGGGUGAAAGCCCGAGGCUCAACCUCGGAACUGCCUUCGAUACUGCGGGUCUCGAGUCCGGGAGAGGUGAGUGGAAUUCCUGGUGUAGCGGUGAAAUGCGCAGAUAUCAGGAAGAACACCCGUGGCUAAGGCGGCUCUCUAGUACGGUACUGACGCUGAGACGCGAAAGCGUGGGGAGCGAAACAGG
rnacentral:rRNA from 1 species